AAAAACAUGUCUUUAAGAAUUUAUAUAAAGUCUAAUCUGCUCACUGAAAAUUUUAAAGAGCCGCAGUAUUUUGACUGUGCAAAGGUAGCAUAAUCAAUAGUUUUUUAAUUGAAAACUGGAAUGAAUGAUUGUACGAUGAAUUAGCUUUCUUAAUUUUAAUUUUUGAAUUUAAAAUUUAGGUAAAAAUACCUAAAUUUUUUUAAUAGACGAGAAGACCCUUUAGAUUUUUAUUAAUAAGUUUAUUAAUAAUUAAUUUAAUAUAUUUAUUAAUUUUAUUGGGGUGAUAUUGUAAUAAAAAUAACUUAAUUAUUUUUAACCAUUUAUAAGUGAAUUUUUUGAUCUAAAAUUUUUAAUAACAAGAUUAAAUUACCUAAGGGAUAACAGCGUCAUAUUAUUUAAGAGUUCAUAUCUAUAAUAAUUAUUGCGACCUCGAUGUUGAAUUAAAAAAUAAACUAAAGCAGAAAUUAGAGUUUAUUAGUCUGUUCGACUAUUAAAUUUUUACGUGAUCUGA
rnacentral:rRNA from 1 species